CCUACGGGUGGCAGCAGUGGGGAAUCUUGGACAAUGGGGGGAACCCUGAUCCAGCGACGCCGCGUGAGUGAAGAAGUAUUUCGGUAUGUAAAGCUCUGUCAGCAGGGAAGAAAGAAAUGACGGUACCUGACUAAGAAGCCCCGGCUAACUACGUGCCAGCAGCCGCGGUAAUACGUAGGGGGCAAGCGUUAUCCGGAUUUACUGGGUGUAAAGUGAGCGUAGACGGCAGCACAAGUCUGGAGUGAAAUCCCGGGGAUUAACCCCGGAACUGCUUUGGAUACUGUGCGGCUGGAGUGCAGGAGGGGAAAGCGGAAUUCCUAGUGUAGCGGUGAAAUGCGUAGAUAUUAGGAGGAACACCGGUGGCGAAGGCGGCUUACUGGACUGUAACUGACGUUGAGGCUCGAAAGCGUGGGGAGCAAACAGGAUUAGAUACCCCAGUAGUC
rnacentral:rRNA from 1 species